rnacentral:tRNA from 1 species
UUUAUUUAGUAUAAAAGUAUAUUUGACUUCCAAUCAGAAGGUCUAAACGCAGUUUAGAAUAAAUA